rnacentral:rRNA from 1 species
AAAUUGAAGAGUUUGAUCAUGGCUCAGAUUGAACGCUGGCGGCAGGCCUAACACAUGCAAGUCGAACGGUAACAGGAAGCAGCUUGCUGCUUCGCUGACGAGUGGCGGACGGGUGAGUAAUGUCUGGGAAACUGCCUGAUGGAGGGGGAUAACUACUGGAAACGGUGGCUAAUACCGCAUAACGUCGUAAGACCAAAGAGGGGGACCUUCGGGCCUCUUGCCAUCAGAUGUGCCCAGAUGGGAUUAGCUUGUUGGUGGGGUAACGGCUCACCAAGGCGACGAUCCCUAGCUGGUCUGAGAGGAUGACCAGCCACACUGGAACUGAGACACGGUCCAGACUCCUACGGGAGGCAGCAGUGGGGAAUAUUG